GACGAACGCUGGCGGCGUGCUUAACACAUGCAAGUCGAACGAAGAGCGAUGGAAGCUUGCUUCUAUCAAUCUUAGUGGCGAACGGGUGAGUAACGCGUAAUCAACCUGCCCUUCAGAGGGGGACAACAGUUGGAAACGACUGCUAAUACCGCAUACGAUCUGACCUCGGCAUCGAGGAUAGAUGAAAGGUGGCCUCUAUUUAUAAGCUAUCACUGAAGGAGGGGAUUGCGUCUGAUUAGCUAGUUGGAGGGGUAACGGCCCACCAAGGCGAUGAUCAGUAGCCGGUCUGAGAGGAUGAACGGCCACAUUGGGACUGAGACACGGCCCAGACUCCUACGGGAGGCAGCAGUGGGGAAUCUUCCGCAAUGGACGAAAGUCUGACGGAGCAACGCCGCGUGAGUGAUGACGGCCUUCGGGUUGUAAAGCUCUGUUAAUCGGGACGAAAGGCCUUCUUGCGAAUAGUUAGAAGGAUUGACGGUACCGGAAUAGAAAGCCACGGCUAACUACGUGCCAGCAGCCGCNGUAAUACGUAGGUGGCAAGCGUUGUCCGGAAUUAUUGGGCGUAAAGCGCGCGCAGGCGGAUUGGUCAGUCUGUCUUAAAAGUUCGGGGCUUAACCCCGUGAUGGGAUGGAAACUGCCAAUCUAGAGUAUCGGAGAGGAAAGUGGAAUUCCUAGUGUAGCGGUGAAAUGCGUAGAUAUUAGGAAGAACACCAGUGGCGAAGGCGACUUUCUGGACGAAAACUGACGCUGAGGCGCGAAAGCCAGGGGAGCGAACGGG
rnacentral:rRNA from 1 species